UUAAGCGACUAAGCGUACACGGUGGAUGCCCUGGCAGUCAGAGGCGAUGAAGGACGUGCUAAUCUGCGAUAAGCGUCGGUGAGGUGAUAUGAACCGUUAUAACCGGCGAUUUCCGAAUGGGGAAACCCAGUGUGUUUCGACACACUAUCAUUAACUGAAUCCAUAGGUUAAUGAGGCGAACCGGGGGAACUGAAACAUCUAAGUACCCCGAGGAAAAGAAAUCAACCGAGAUUCCCCCAGUAGCGGCGAGCGAACGGGGAGGAGCCCAGAGCCUGAAUCAGUGUGUGUGUUAGUGGAAGCGUCUGGAAAGGCGCGCGAUACAGGGUGACAGCCCCGUACACAAAAAUGCACAUAUUGUGAGCUCGAUGAGUAGGGCGGGACACGUGGUAUCCUGUCUGAAUAUGGGGGGACCAUCCUCCAAGGCUAAAUACUCCUGACUGACCGAUAGUGAACCAGUACCGUGAGGGAAAGGCGAAAAGAACCCCGGCGAGGGGAGUGAAAAAGAACCUGAAACCGUGUACGUACAAGCAGUGGGAGCCUCUUUAUGGGGUGACUGCGUACCUUUUGUAUAAUGGGUCAGCGACUUAUAUUCUGUAGCAAGGUUAACCGAAUAGGGGAGCCGAAGGGAAACCGAGUCUUAACUGGGCGUUAAGUUGCAGGGUAUAGACCCGAAACCCGGUGAUCUAGCCAUGGGCAGGUUGAAGGUUGGGUAACACUAACUGGAGGACCGAACCGACUAAUGUUGAAAAAUUAGCGGAUGACUUGUGGCUGGGGGUGAAAGGCCAAUCAAACCGGGAGAUAGCUGGUUCUCCCCGAAAGCUAUUUAGGUAGCGCCUCGUGAAUUCAUCUCCGGGGGUAGAGCACUGUUUCGGCAAGGGGGUCAUCCCGACUUACCAACCCGAUGCAAACUGCGAAUACCGGAGAAUGUUAUCACGGGAGACACACGGCGGGUGCUAACGUCCGUCGUGAAGAGGGAAACAACCCAGACCGCCAGCUAAGGUCCCAAAGUCAUGGUUAAGUGGGAAACGAUGUGGGAAGGCCCAGACAGCCAGGAUGUUGGCUUAGAAGCAGCCAUCAUUUAAAGAAAGCGUAAUAGCUCACUGGUCGAGUCGGCCUGCGCGGAAGAUGUAACGGGGCUAAACCAUGCACCGAAGCUGCGGCAGCGACACUAUGUGUUGUUGGGUAGGGGAGCGUUCUGUAAGCCUGUGAAGGUGGCCUGUGAGGGUUGCUGGAGGUAUCAGAAGUGUGAAUGCUGACAUAAGUAACGAUAAAGCGGGUGAAAAGCCCGCUCGCCGGAAGACCAAGGGUUCCUGUCCAACGUUAAUCGGGGCAGGGUGAGUCGACCCCUAAGGCGAGGCCGAAAGGCGUAGUCGAUGGGAAACAGGUUAAUAUUCCUGUACUUGGUGUUACUGCGAAGGGGGGACGGAGAAGGCUAUGUUGGCCGGGCGACGGUUGUCCCGGUUUAAGCGUGUAGGCUGGUUUUCCAGGCAAAUCCGGAAAACCAAGGCUGAGGCGUGAUGACGAGGCACUACGGUGCUGAAGCGACAAAUGCCCUGCUUCCAGGAAAAGCCUCUAAGCAUCAGGUAACAUCAAAUCGUACCCCAAACCGACACAGGUGGUCAGGUAGAGAAUACCAAGGCGCUUGAGAGAACUCGGGUGAAGGAACUAGGCAAAAUGGUGCCGUAACUUCGGGAGAAGGCACGCUGAUAUGUAGGUGAAGCGACUUGCUCGUGGAGCUGAAAUCAGUCGAAGAUACCAGCUGGCUGCAACUGUUUAUUAAAAACACAGCACUGUGCAAACACGAAAGUGGACGUAUACGGUGUGACGCCUGCCCGGUGCCGGAAGGUUAAUUGAUGGGGUUAGCGGUAACGCGAAGCUCUUGAUCGAAGCCCCGGUAAACGGCGGCCGUAACUAUAACGGUCCUAAGGUAGCGAAAUUCCUUGUCGGGUAAGUUCCGACCUGCACGAAUGGCGUAAUGAUGGCCAGGCUGUCUCCACCCGAGACUCAGUGAAAUUGAACUCGCUGUGAAGAUGCAGUGUACCCGCGGCAAGACGGAAAGACCCCGUGAACCUUUACUAUAGCUUGACACUGAACAUUGAGCCUUGAUGUGUAGGAUAGGUGGGAGGCUUUGAAGUGUGGACGCCAGUCUGCAUGGAGCCGACCUUGAAAUACCACCCUUUAAUGUUUGAUGUUCUAACGUUGGCCCGUAAUCCGGGUUGCGGACAGUGUCUGGUGGGUAGUUUGACUGGGGCGGUCUCCUCCUAAAGAGUAACGGAGGAGCACGAAGGUUGGCUAAUCCUGGUCGGACAUCAGGAGGUUAGUGCAAUGGCAUAAGCCAGCUUGACUGCGAGCGUGACGGCGCGAGCAGGUGCGAAAGCAGGUCAUAGUGAUCCGGUGGUUCUGAAUGGAAGGGCCAUCGCUCAACGGAUAAAAGGUACUCCGGGGAUAACAGGCUGAUACCGCCCAAGAGUUCAUAUCGACGGCGGUGUUUGGCACCUCGAUGUCGGCUCAUCACAUCCUGGGGCUGAAGUAGGUCCCAAGGGUAUGGCUGUUCGCCAUUUAAAGUGGUACGCGAGCUGGGUUUAGAACGUCGUGAGACAGUUCGGUCCCUAUCUGCCGUGGGCGCUGGAGAACUGAGGGGGGCUGCUCCUAGUACGAGAGGACCGGAGUGGACGCAUCACUGGUGUUCGGGUUGUCAUGCCAAUGGCACUGCCCGGUAGCUAAAUGCGGAAGAGAUAAGUGCUGAAAGCAUCUAAGCACGAAACUUGCCCCGAGAUGAGUUCUCCCUGACUCCUUGAGAGUCCUGAAGGAACGUUGAAGACGACGACGUUGAUAGGCCGGGUGUGUAAGCGCAGCGAUGCGUUGAGCUAACCGGUACUAAUGAACCGUGAGGCUUAACCUU
rnacentral:rRNA from 2 species